UUUAUCAGUAUUAUUAAAUUGGUUGUUUAAGUUUAAAUUUAAAAUAAGAAAAUUUACGUUUUAGUAAUUAUUAUGGACAAAUUUAUUUAAUUAUAGAGAAUUAGUAUUGUGAAAGAAUUACUAUAAAAGUUGAUAAGAAGAAUUUAUUUUUCGUACCUUGUGUAUCAGGGAUUAUUAAUUAGAUUUUUGUAAUUUAAAUUUUCUCGAAUUAAUAAGAGUUAUAAGUAUAUAGUUUUUUUUGUUGCAUAAAAAUUAUUAAUAUAUUUAUAGAGGUGAAACGUCAUUCGGUUAUUAAUAUAUCUAGUUUUUAAAGAAAAAAAUUUAAUUUUUUUAUUAGAUAGUAUUAAGUUUAAUUUUUAACUUGAUAUUACUGAUAGGCAAUAUCUUAGGGGAUGAGCUUUAAGAUAAAAUAUUUUAAUAUAGGUAAAUUAUUUUUUAUUAAGUAGGAUUGAAAGUUUUUAUCUUUAAGAGUGUGUUUUAACUUUUUUGAAAUGAAUUAAUAUUUAUAAAUUAUUGAAGUUUUUUAUUUAAAUGAAAAUUUUAUUUUUAAAAAUUUUGUAAUAAUGAUAAUAUUAGUAUAAAAUGUAUUGUUAAAAAUUAUUGAAUUUUUAGGUUAGAUAAAGGAAUUCGGCAAAUAUAUUUUCCACCUGUUUAUUAAAAACAUGGCCUUUUGAGUAUAAUUUAAGGUCUGGCCUGCCCAAUGAGGAUUUGAAUGGCCGCGGUAAUUUGACCGUGCAAAGGUAGCAUAAUAAUUAGUUUUUUAAUUGAAAGCUUGUAUGAAAGGUUGGAUGAGAAAAUAACUGUCUCUGUCUAAAUUUAUUAGAAUUUUAUUUUUAAGUAAAAAAGCUUAAAUUUAAAUAGAAGACGAGAAGACCCUAUAGAGUUUUAUUGAUUUUUAUUUUUAAAUUUUAAGUAUUAAGUGAUUUUUAGGUAUAAAUUAAUUUGAUUGGGGUGAUUGAAAAAUUUGAUAAACUUUUUUUUAUUUGAACAUUGAUGUAUGAAUAUAUGAUCCUUUAUUUAAGAUUAAAAGAUAAAAUUACCUUAGGGAUAACAGCGUAAUUUUUUUUGAGAGUUCUAAUCGAAAGAAAAGGUUGCGACCUCGAUGUUGGAUUAAAAUAAAAUUUUGGUGUAGAAGCUAAAGUAUUUGGGUCUGUUCGACCUUUAAAAUUUUACAUGAUCUGAGUUUAGACCGGCGUGAGCCAGGUUGGUUUCUAUCUCUAUUAAAUUAUAAUAUUUUAGUACGAAAGGACCGAAUAUUAGAUUAAUAAUUUUAAGUUGGAAUAAUAUU
rnacentral:rRNA from 1 species